GAUGAACGCUAGCUACAGGCUUAACACAUGCAAGUCGCAGGGUAACAUGAGGAAAGCUUGCUUUCCCUUGAUGACGACUGGCGCACGGGUGAGUAACGCGUAUCCAACCUUCCCAUAACUACGGGAUAACCCGUUGAAAGACGGCCUAAUACNCGUAUGAUAUCGUUUGCUGACAUCAAAUAACGAUUAAAGGUUUAGCGGUUAUGGAUGGGGAUGCGUCUGAUUAGCUUGUUGGCGGGGUAACGGCCCACCAAGGCUACGAUCAGUAGGGGUUCUGAGAGGAAGGUCCCCCACAUUGGAACUGAGACACGGUCCAAACUCCUACGGGAGGCAGCAGUGAGGAAUAUUGGUCAAUGGGCGAGAGCCUGAACCAGCCAAGUAGCGUGCAGGAUGACGGCCCUAUGGGUUGUAAACUGCUUUUAUGUGGGGAUAAAGUGCGUGACGUGUCAUGCAUUGCAGGUACCACAUGAAUAAGGACCGGCUAAUUCCGUGCCAGCCGC
rnacentral:rRNA from 1 species